rnacentral:misc_RNA from 1 species
UUUCCGUAAGUGAACCUGCGGAAGGAUCAUUAUUGUAUAACCGAGGUGCGAGGGCUGUCGCUGACCCUAUAGGUCGUGCACGCCCGAGUGCCCUCACACACAUCCAUCUCACCCCUAUGUGCACCACCGCGUGGGUCCCCCUUUGGCUUGUUCGGAGGGGGGCUUACGUUUUCACACAAACUUUGUAUGCAGUGUAGAAUGUAUUUUUUGUUUUUGCGAUCACGCAAUCAAUACAACUUUCAACAACGGAUCUCUUGGCUCUC